rnacentral:rRNA from 1 species
UGAACGCUGGCGGCGUGCCUCAUACAUGCAAGUCGAGCGAACAGACGCGGAGCUUGCUCCUCUGACGUUAGCGGCGGACGGGUGAGUAACACGUGGAUAACCUACCUAUAAGACUGGGAUAACUUCGGGAAACCGGAGCUAAUACCGGAUAAUAUAUUGAACCGCAUGGUUCAAUAGUGAAAGACGGUUUUGCUGUCACUUAUAGAUGGAUCCGCGCCGCAUUAGCUAGUUGGUAAGGUAACGGCUUACCAAGGCAACGAUGCGUAGCCGACCUGAGAGGGUGAUCGGCCACACUGGAACUGAGACACGGUCCAGACUCCUACGGGAGGCAGCAGUAGGGAAUCUUCCGCAAUGGGCGAAAGCUUGACGGAGCAACGCCGCGUGAGUGAUGAAGGUCUUCGGAUCGUAAAACUCUGUUAUUAGGGAAGAACAAAUGUGUAAGUAACUAUGCACGUCUUGACGGUACCUAAUCAGAAAGCCACGGCUAACUACGUG